rnacentral:rRNA from 1 species
CCUGAUCCCUUCCCGAACUCAGAAGUGAAACGACGCAUCGCCGAUGGUAGUGUGGGGUCUCCCCAUGUGAGAGUAGGUCAUCGUCAAGC